GAGUUUGAUCCUGGCUCANGGAUGAACGCUAGCGGCAGGCUUAAUACAUGCNAGUUCNAACGGUAACNUGAGAGCUUGCUCUUGAUGACNAGUGGCGCACGGGUGCGUAACGCGUAUGCNACCUACCCUUUACUGGAAGAUAGCCCGGAGAAAUUCGGAUUAAUACUCAUAGUACUAUAAAACAGCAUUGUUUAAUAGUUAAAGAUUUAUUGGUAAAGGAUGGGCAUGCGUGACAUUAGUUAGUUGGUGAGGUAAUGGCUCACCAAGACGAUGAUGUCUAGGGGUUCUGAGAGGAUGAUCCCCCACACUGGUACUGAGACACGGACCAGACUCCUACGGGAGGCAGCAGUAGGGAAUAUUGGUCAAUGGGCGAGAGCCUGAACCAGCCAUGCCGCGUGUAGGAUGACGGCCUUCUGGGUUGUAAACUACUUUUAUAUAGGAACAAAUAGACCAUGCGUGGUAAGUUGAGUGUACUAUAUGGAUAAGCACCGGCUAACUCCGUGCCAGCAGCCGCGGUAAUACGGAGGGUGCAAGCGUUGUCCGGAUUUAUUGGGUUUAAAGGGUGCGUAGGUGGCGUGUUAAGUCAGUGGUGAAAGCCUGCAGCUCAACUGUAGAGGUGCCAUUGAUACUGACAUGCUUGAGUAUGGACGAGGUAGGCGGAAUUUGUGGUGUAGCGGUGAAAUGCAUAGAUACCACAAAGAACACCGAUAGCGAAGGCAGCUUACUGGACCAUAACUGACACUGAGGCACGAAAGCGUGGGGAG
rnacentral:rRNA from 1 species